rnacentral:rRNA from 1 species
CUCUACGGGAGGCAGCAGUAGGGAAUCUUCCGCAAUGGACGAAAGUCUGACGGAGCAACGCCGCGUGAGUGAUGAAGGUUUUCGGAUCGUAAAACUCUGUUGUUAGGGAAGAACAAGUGCCGGAGUAACUGCCGGUACCUUGACGGUACCUAACCAGAAAGCCACGGCUAACUACGUGCCAGCAGCCGCGGUAAUACGUAGGUGGCAAGCGUUGUCCGGAAUUAUUGGGCGUAAAGCGCGCGCAGGCGGUUCCUUAAGUCUGAUGUGAAAGCCCACGGCUCAACCGUGGAGGGUCAUUGGAAACUGGGGAACUUGAGUGCAGAAGAGGAGAGUGGAAUUCCACGUGUAGCGGUGAAAUGCGUAGAGAUGUGGAGGAACACCAGUGGCGAAGGCGACUCUCUGGUCUGUAACUGACGCUGAGGCGCGAAAGCGUGGGGAGCAAACAGGAUUAGAUACCCUGGUAGUCCACGCCGUAAACGAUGAGUGCUAAGUGUUAGAGGGUUUCCGCCCUUUAGUGCUGCAGCAAACGCAUUAAGCACUCCGCCUGGGGAGUACGGCCGCAAGGUGGAAACUCAAAGGAAUUGAC